GACGAACGCUGGCGGCGUGCUUAACACAUGCAGGUCGAACGGAAAGGCCCUGCUUUUGUGGGGUGCUCGAGUGGCGAACGGGUGAGUAACACGUGAGUAACCUGCCCUUGACUUUGGGAUAACUUCAGGAAACUGGGGCUAAUACCGGAUAGGAGCUCCUGCUGCAUGGUGGGGGUUGGAAAGUUUCGGCGGUUGGGGAUGGACUCGCGGCUUAUCAGCUUGUUGGUGGGGUAGUGGCUUACCAAGGCUUUGACGGGUAGCCGGCCUGAGAGGGUGACCGGCCACAUGGGGACUGAGAUACGGCCCAGACUCCUACGGGAGGCAGCAGUGGGGAAUAUUGCACAAUGGGCGGAAGCCUGAUGCAGCAACGCCGCGUGCGGGAUGACGGCCUUCGGGUUGUAAACCGCUUUCGCUGUGACGAAGCGUGAGUGACGGUAAUGGGUAAAGAAGCACCGGCUAACUACGUG
rnacentral:rRNA from 1 species